AUUCUGAAAUAUUAAAAUCCCAGCAAAUAUACUAAAAUCCUCAGUUCAAUACACCCCCAUCGAUGUUUGCAAUUUUUUUUUUAUUAAUCUCUUCUCUUUAAUUGAUUUCUCCCGUUUCCUUUUUUUCUCUAUAGGGAUGAGAUAGAAGAUGAACAGUAUAUUUAUUUGAUUUGUUAUAGUGAGCGUGGGUUGAUCUGUUAUCUUUGUUCUUUGAGAGAUACAAGAAAGAGCUUUAUGACCACGUGAAGAAAAGAACACAAGAUGAAGAUAAUGUCGAAGAGUAUAGAAUUCCAGAUGCUUAUGAUUAAGACGGAGGUAUUGAUCAGGAGAGGUUUUCUAUUGCUGUACAAUGAUACAAGGACCUGGAUUCAACGGAGAAAAUGAAACCAUAUGCAGAGCAAGAAGCUUGGGAGGACCAUCAGAUUAGAAAAUCAACAUUAAAAUUUGGUGCAAAGAAUAAGCAAGCCUCAGACGAUUAUCAUCGUUUGUGUUUGAGAACCAAAUAAAUUUCAUUAAGGAAUCUGUGAUGGCUGGUGAAAAUCAUGAAGAUGAUAUGGAUAUUGGAUACAAAACAAAAAUCUCAAGAUUUGGCAGAGAAAUAAGCAUUAGAAGAACUUCAGGAAGUCAGAAGAAGUUAGCCGAUUUAUGUGUAUCUUGAUCAACUGCUUAAGGCUGUGGAAGAGGAUCAGGUAGAACUCUACGUUUAUUGCUCGUGCAGGUAGAAGUCUUUGUUUAUUGCUCGUUCAGGUGAAGUCUAUGUUUGCAUCAACAUUAGGUAAGUUACCUUGGUAUUCUUUAGUAGUCAUGAAAGGAAGACAAGCUACCUUGUUCUUUGUCAUUGACUGAACCUUAACGUUGACUGAACCUUACCAUAUGGUAGUAUGGUACCUAAUCUCUGGCAUUCGGGCAGUAGCUAUAUCCCUCUAUGACUCUGUCACACGUGAAAAAAAAAACAUAUAAUUAGCAGAUUACACGAUUCAUAUAUCAGUUUCAGAGCUACCUCUGUAGGAUAUCAUAUAUUCACAAGACACGUUUCUCGAGGAACAAAAAUAAAUAAUCAAGAGUUUUCCUAGCACGUAAGAUAACAAAAAUGCUUAAUCAUGCAAAUAAUAUAGGUACAAACCUAAAACUUGAGUUUAGCAAGCUCACUGUAAGAUAAAUUGGUUUUCUACUCGUUUGUUGUCUUUAAACUAAAUAUAUUUAAAUGAGAUAUUUUUCUUCU